UCCGCAUCUCCUCUCUUCUCUUUCGUCAGAAGAUCUCUCCACCCUCGCAAGAUCUCUGCCUUCAUCGCUCUCCAUCUUCUCUACCACCUCCGUUAAUGGUUGAAGAAUUGAAUGAGUGGUAUCUCUGUCUUCCAUCAUUUGAUGUCACGCUCACCGUUCACCACCACUCCACGGAGGGUGGAGGAUGCAGAAAAAGCUUGAUGGUGGAGGAUGCAGAAGAAGCUUGAUGGUGGAGGAGACAAGACCAGCCGUGGUCGUAGUGGCUGUUGUACGGCGGAGGCAAGGCCACACAUGGCGGCUGGAGGAGGCAAGGCGAGGCAGGCAUGGCCGCUUAUUUUUUUAGGGUUGAAUUUUUUUUAAUGAUUUGGUUAAGUUAUCUAAACCUAAUUUUAUUUUAAACCAAUUUCAUUUUGUAAACCGAGUUAUUUUUAUUUCGAUUUAUAGAGUAACCAAUUGAAACUGAGAUGUUACUACUACUGUCAUACUUUGUGAGGUUUAAUUAUGACAAAUUAAUAACAUAAUGAAGGUUACAAAAUACAAAUAUUUUGUUACACAAUUAUAGUAACGGAUAAAUAUUAUUUCGUUCGUCAUUGAUCAUUAUGUUUUGUGACUAAAUUUUUGAUUAUAAUAGGCUACAAAAAAGAUUGACCAAAAAAAAGGCUACACAAUUAAUAUUUUAAAUUAGUUAUAAAUAAUGACAGUUUGGGGCAAUAUAUAUAAUGUCAGUAUCGGUGACACAGUAAAAAAACUAUAAUGUCGUCAAUAUUAGUGACAUUUUGUGACAAUAGAUCCGUUACUAGAAGUGAUAUAGUUGUCACAUUAAAUAGUCACAAAUUAAGACAGUUUGAUACAAUUUAAUAAGUAAGAAAUUACUACAGUUUUGUUAUUAAUAUACAACGUAACUAUGUGUGACGAUUUGUUACAAAAAAUUUAGUCGCAAGAAAUUGUGACAUUUUUGUUACUCCAGAAAAUUUAUGACACACGUAUUGCAACCAUUAAUAAUUGGUCACAAAAACGUAACUAUGAUAAUAUUGUUACGAAUUCUUUGCUAUCGUGACGGAAAAUUUCGUCACAAUACAUUUAUUUUCUUGUAGUGGGGUGAUCUAUCGGGAAGUGAUUCGCGAUAUCGUGCGAAUGAAGCCAAAACACGGGAAAAUGUCAUGUGGUGAUUGCAGGGUCAGGAAACAAGACUUUCGGGCCUUAGAAAAAUUAAUGCACCAUCUGUCGGCUCGGUCGCUACAUAGAGACCGAGCUCAAGCCAAGCUCGGUCGCAACAUAGCGAACGAGCACGAACACGGCUCGGUCGCUACGUAGCGACCGAGCUCCAGCCAAGCUCGGUCGCUACGUAACGACCGAACUUUCCCAAAACGUCGAUACGACACGAAUCCAUGCAUUAUCGUCUACUUUUUAAUGCUAUCUCCCGUAGGCCAUGGUUAAACCAUUCUUUGUUUCUUAUCACUCAAAGUCAUCAAUCAAACUUUAUGAUAAAAACCGUGGGAAAUUUGUUUUUAUCGAAGAAACCAUAAUAAACGUUUCAAGUCAAAGAAGGCCCAAAGAGACCUAAAACGCAACUCGAAGCCCACUUACAAUUUCUUAACUGAAAACCCAUAAGCCUUAUGACGGUUUAUGCUUGGUUCGUAGGGCAAGAUAAAUGUCAAGUUUUCCGCGGAUAAAUGUGAAAUUUCCGAAGAUAAUCACGAAGAUCGGGAAAAUUGGAAUAUCUCCAUUUUUGAGCUAUGACGGCUUAAGGGCAAAAGGGGAAAGGCGCAAACCGACCUAGGAUCAAGUAUAUAAGUAGUCCUAGGUGAGAGGCAAAGGGGAUGAGAGACACAGCAAACUCUCGGCACUUAGAAACUUUAAGGCAUUAUUCUCAACAUGCUCUAUUUCUAUGACUGGCACCCGAUUACCAGAUGAACGCCACAAGCAGUUCGAUCUCUUGGUUCACUCCUGAACUACAUUCGGCUUGAUCCUCGAA